AUUUAAAUAGUCUAAAAAAGAUGCUGGCCUGUGAAGCCAGAGUUAUAGUUAUCUAUUUUAGAUC
rnacentral:tRNA from 1 species